AUAAGUAGCCAUAUCACCCUGCAACUCACAUCUGGCAGCCCACUGAAGCUAAGCAGGUGUGAGCCUGGUCAGUACCUGGAUGGGAGACCUCCUGGGAAAAACUAAGGUUGCUGCUGGAA
ensembl:rRNA 5S_rRNA 5S ribosomal RNA